ensembl:lncRNA
CUAAAAAGCAAAAAAAAUAAGUUUAAAAUCAUGAUUCCUAUUGUAUGGGAGGAAAAAUUUGUUCCCUCUACUCUCCUAGUUUUCCCAGCUGGAUCCCUGCCAGUCAGAUUGACAAAAGAAAAACAAGGGGGAGGGAUGGACUGGGAGUUUGGGGUUAGUAUAUGCAGACCAUUACAUAUGGAAGGGAUAAACAAAACAAGGUCCUAUUAUAGUGCGAGGAACUAUAUUCAACCCCCUGAGAUAAAUUAUAAUGGAAAAGAAUAUUAAAAAAGAAUGUACAUAUGUAUAACUGAAUCACUUUUCUGUAUACCAGAUUUUUUUUUACAUUUAUUAAAGUAUUGUUGAUGUACAAUGUUGUGCCAAUUUUUGCUGAACAGUGAAGUAACCCAGUAUACAUUCCUUUUCUUAUAUUAUCUUCUAUCAUGGUCUACCCCAAAAGAUUGGAUAUAGUUCCCUGUGCUAUAUAGUAGGAACUCAUUGCUUAUCCAUUCUAAAUAUAAUAAUUUACAUCUACUAGCCUCAAACUUCCAGUCUAUUACAUGCCCUUCUCCCUUCCCAAUAGACUGGAAGUCUGUUCUCCAUUUCCAUGAGUCUGUUUCUGUUUUAUAGAUAGAUAGGUUCAUUUGUGCCAUGUUUUAGAUUCCCCAUACAAGUGAUGUCAUUUGGUAUUUGUUUUUCUCUUUCUGGCUUACUUCACUUAGUGUGAGAAUCUCUAGUUGCAUCCAUAUUGAGAAAAAUUGUUCUUUUUUAUGGCUGAGUCGUAUUCCAUUGUAUAAGGCACCACAUCUUCUUCAUUCAUUCAUCUGUUGAUGGACUUUUAUGUUGUUUCCAUGGUUUGAUUACUGUGAAUAGUGCUGCUGUGAACAUUGGGGUGCAUAUAUUUUUUUGAAUGAAAUUUUUGUCUGGAUAUAUGCCCAGGAGUGGAAUUGCUGGGUCAUAUGGUAAUUCUAUAUUUAGUUUUCUGAGGAACUUCCAUAAUGUUUUCCACAGUGUUGUACCAAUUUACAUUCCUACCAACAGUGUAGAAGGGUUGCAUUUUCUCCAGCUUACCCUCUCCAGCAUUUGUUAUUUGUAGACUUUUUAAUAAUGGCCAUUCUGACCAGUUUGAGGUGGUACCUCAUUGUAGUUUUGAUUUGCAUUUCUCUAAUAAUUAGUGAUGUUGAGUAUCUUUUCAAUUGCCUACUGGCCAUCUAUGUCUUCAGAGAAAUGUCUGUUUAGGUCUUCUUCCUAUUUUUUGAUUGGAUUGUUUGUUUUCAUCCUCUCUCUAAGGGAGAUAAAUCCCUUGUUGGUUCCAUCUUUUGCAACUAUUUUCUCCCAUUUUGUAGGUUGUCUUUUCAUCUUUUUUAUGGUUUCCUUUGCUGUGAAGAAGCUUGUAAGUUUGAUUAAGUCCCAUUUGUUUAUUUUUGUUUUAUUUUUAUUGUCUUGGAGGACUGACCAAAGAAAACGUUUGUAUGAUUAAUGCCAGAGAAUGUUUUGCCUAUGCUUUCUUCUAGGAGUUUUAUGGUGUUAUGUCUUAUGUUUAAGUCUUAAAGCCGUUUUGAAUUUAUUUUUGUGCAUGGUGUGAGGGGGUGUUCUAGUUUCUUUGAUUUACAUACAGCUGUCCAGUUUUCCCAGCACCACUUUCUGAAGAGGCUGUCUUUUCCCCAUUUUGUAUUCUUGCCUCCUUUGUUGAAUAUUAAUUGGCCAUAGGUGUCUGGGUUUAUUUCUGGGCUCUUUAUUCUAUUCCACUGAUCCAUAUGUUUGUUUUUGUACCAGUACCACCAUGCCUUGACUACUUGUACAGCAGAAAUUAACACAGCAUUGUAAAUCAACUAUACUUCAGUACGAACGCAAAAAAAGAAAAGAAAAACAAACCGAAGUUUAUUAACACAUGCAGUGCACAUACUUGUGGGAGAAACUCAGUCAUGUGUAACUCAAAGAAGUGGUUACAACUUGGCUUUUGUAGCAUCUUAACUAAGAAGAAUAAAUUUGUAGAGAAAUGACAAGACAAGGAAAAGAGUUUUAGGCUUCCAAGGAUGGCAAACUAUAGGAAGGUAAAUACAUGGGGGAAACUAAUGGAAGAUAAAAGUUGUUAUAAUAUGUAUUUUAGGUAGAUUCCUCUUGGCACAUCUCAUCUCCAGUGAUCAGGUUGUUGUCCCCUUCCUGGAAUGGGAAGUGGAAGAUGGAGAGGGCACCUUCACAAGGGGAAUUUAUGUUCUGCUUUAAGGCAGAUAGGGUUGGGAGUGGGCAGAGAAUUUACACUGUGCCUCCUUUUUCUCAAUAACUUUCAGCUCAAAGUAAGUCUUAUGCCAAAGUGGCAUAUUUUAGGGUGACGUACUCUGAACCACUUCAUUAUACUUUUAUUAAAAUGAAGAUGUUUGCUUAGCUCAAGAGGGAAUAGGGCAGAUGUUAUAAUCUGUGCAAAGAAAAGUCAAAAAAGCUCAGAAGUGUAUAGAGCAAAAGGAUAUUGAAUUGAACAUGUAAAUGGAGGCAAAUUUUUUUGCAUAGAUUGUCAGGAAAGACAAUUGAACCUCUAUAAUACAGGACAGAAUUUGCAUGUCUAUCAGUUACCUACAACUUACAGAGCUCAAGAACAAUGGAGAGGGCUAGAGCCUGAUAACUUGAAGGGAUGUCCUUUAUGCAAUGCAGUUUUCCACUGAAAUACAAAUUCUUUCCCACAUCAGAGACCUGGUGGGAAGAUGAUAAGAUGGAGGCCUUUGAAUGGAGUUCACCAAAAGAGGGAUAUAACCAUGGGUUGAAAUUUGGGAACACUGGUUAUAAGGAUAGGAUAAUUUAGGAUUAAUGUGGUAGACUUUGGGGAUAGCAACUAAAAUGGAGGCCAAAGUCAGUUUUCUGGUGUUGGGGGUAGGGUAACAGGUAAAUGUGCUACUGGCCUUGACCUUUUAGAGUAAGGUCACUCUAUCUCCCAGUUUCCUAGGAGGAAAUGGAAUUAACUUCAGCUGUCACUUAAUCCAAAUUGCAAACCCUAUCUCAAUUUGCAAAGAUAAAAUAAAUAUAGCAAUUUUAGCUUGAAUACAUGAAUAUAAUGUAUCCACUUAGCGAUAUUAAAGAAUAAGAUUUCUUUCUGCCUUUGCAAACUCUUCAGCAUGUUGCCUGUAAUGUGCAUCACAUUCUGAUUUAAUGGGUUUUCUAUAAUAAAAUUAUUUUCUUUCUCUUCUACCUUUGUGGAGAGGUUUUCUCAGUUGGAAAGAGAUUUUGUUUUUAAUUAUAUUUCCCCAGCAGGAGACCCAAGGGUAAGUAAGAUCAAACUGAAGAGGCUUUUUGAUGAGUACACCAUAUUUCUGAAGACCUGCAGGCCAUGUUCAGAGCCACAGAUGGAGAGUUUUGAGUGGGAAGGAUCUGUAUUUGCCUAUGGGAAUAAUUUACUGGCCCUAGGGAGAACCCCUUGGCCUCGUUCACCCUAAGGUUUACAGGUGCCUCCAGUCACCCGCCUUAGAGGCCUCAACAGUCUCCCAAGAAGAGAUAUUCUGCUGUUGCUAGACUGUGGUCUGGCCUUAUGGCUACAGUUUCUCAGAGUGGCAGCUUUGCUAAAAGAGCAGCCUUUGUCCUCUGGGAUUCCAGCUUUACAGACUGGGUGGUUAACUGGCAAUUAUGGCUCUUGGACACUCAGCAAACAGUGAAAUUAAAUUAUAUGAAGAAAUCUGGAUUCAGUAAGUCAUGUCUAUUAUUGUGAUAUGUGGAUCUUAGUUGCCUUAGAUGCUGAAGGUCAAGGCUAUGAGAACCAAAGCCAUCAUUUUUUAAAAAGUUUUAUUGAAGUAUAGUUGAUUUGCAAUGUUGUGAUAAUUUCUGAAUUACAACAAAGUGAUUUAGUUAUACAUAUACACAUAUCCAUUUUUUUUCCAGAUUCCUUUCCCAUAUAGGUUAUCAUAGAAUAUUGCACAAUGUUCCCCUGUGCUAUACAGCAGGUCCUCAUUGACAAUCCAUUUCAUAUACAAUAGUGUGUAUUUCAAACCUAAACCCCCAAUCUAUCCCUUCCCCCACUUGUCCCCUUUGGUAACCAUAAGUUUUUUUCCAAAAUCUGUGAGUUUUUUUCUGUUUUGUAAAUAAGUUCAUUUAUAUCAUUAAACAAAAGAUUCCACUUAUAGGUAAUAUCAUAUGAUGUUUGUCUUUGUCUAGCUUACUUCACUUAGUAUGAUAAAGCUAAUGCAAAUGGCAUUAUUUUAUUCUUUUUUUAUGAAUGAGUAAUACUCCACUGUAUGCAUGUUCCUCAUCUUUAUCCAUUCCUCUAUCGAGGGACAUUUACAUUGCUUCCAUGUCUUGGCUAUUGUAAAAGUGCUUCAAAGAACAUUGCAGUGCAUAUAUAUUUUGAAAUUAUAGUUUUCUCUUGAUAUAUGCCCAGGAGUGGGAUCACUGGAUCAUACGGUAGUUCUAUUCUUAGUCUUUUGAGGAACCUCCAUAUUGUUCUCCAUAGUGGUUUUAUCAAUUUACAUUCCCUCCAACAGUUUAGUAGGGCUCUCUUUUCUCCACACCCACUCCAACAUUUAUUCUGACUGGUAUGAGCUGAUAAAUGUAGUUUUGAUUUGCAUUUUUUAAAUACUUUGUGAUGUUGGGCAUCUUUUCAUUUGCUUUUUGGCCAUCUGUAUAUCUUCUUUAGAGAAAUGUAUGUUUAGAUCUUCUGCCCAUUUUUUGGAUUGGGUUUUUUUUUUUUUUGAUAUUGAAUUGUAUGACUGUAUAUUUUGGAAAGUUAUCCCAAAUCAAUCACUUUGUUUGCAAAGAUUUCCUCCCAUUCUGUGGACUGUCUUUUUAUUUUGUUUAUGGUUACCUUUGUUAUGCAAAAUUUUUAAGUUUAAUUACAUCCCAUUUAUUGUUUUUGUUUUUAUUUUUACUACUCUAGGUGGUGGAUCCAAAAAGAUAUUGCUGUGAUUUAUGUCGAAGGCUGUUUUGUCUGUUUUCCUCUAAGAGUUUUAUAGUAUCUUGUCUUACAUUUAGGUCUUUAAUCCACUUUAAAUUUAUUUUUGUGUAUGGUGUUAGAGUAUUCUAAUUUCAUUCUUUAAUGUGUAGCUGUCCAGUUUUCCCAGUGCCACUUAUUGAAGAGACUGACUUUUCUCCAUUGUAUAUUCUUUCCUCCUUUGUUGUAGAUCAGUCAACCAUAGAGUCUCCUGUCAAAGCAAACAGUUUGAUUGUUCAUUAUGGUAGAUCUCCAGAAGACAGAAUAACAUCUCAUCAAAGAUCUCUGUCCUAAUCCCUGAAACCUGUGCCCUUAUUAUCACCAGUUACCUUACAUUUUUUUCAAGAUAUAAUUUAACCUUUCAUGGAAAAAGGGUCUCUGCAGAUGUGAUUAUGUGACUGAUCUUGAUAUGGGGAGGCUAUCUUAGAUUAUCUGGGUGGUCCAAAGUAAUCACAAGGAUUUUUACAAGAAGGAGGAAGGAAAGUGAGAGUCAGAGGCUAGGAUAUGAGGAUGAAAGCAGAGGUCAGAAUGAUGGAGGAAGAUGUCAUGAACCCAGGAAUACAGGUGACUUCUAGAACUGGAAAAUGUAAGGAAACAGCUUCUCCCCUAGAGCCUCCAGAAGAAACUCAGCCCUGUUGAUGCUUUGAUUUUAGGACUUCUGACCUCCAGAGCUGUAAGACAAUAAAUUUGUGUUGUUUUAAGACACUAAAUUUGUGGUAUUUUUUUUCACAGCCCCAAUAGGAACAUAAUACCCAUUAACUCUUCAGUGUAAAGCAUUAGAGUUUACACCCUAUAAUUCCUUUAAUAUCUUGCUUCAAAAUAAUCUCCUUGCUGUUUUCACUAAUCCUUAAUGUGCCUUGUGUGAGCAGCAGAGAGCAUCCCUCUCUCUGCUGCUUUGAAAGAGACACCUGCCUUAUACUUUGAAUUCUCAUUGAAUUCUGACCUUUCGAUCCAUUCCCUGCCCCACCUCUCUGAGUCACUGCCAAAGCUCUGUGAUUAUAGUGGUCUCUCUUCCUGCAGUAAACAAUAAACCAGCUUGAUCUUAUCAACAGGCUGUGUUUGCUGAUUCUUGGGCAACUAGCAUUUGACAGUGUCUGAGUAGAGCUAUUGCUAUUGGCUACUUUCUUAGGAUAUUUUUUCCAGAGCUCACCAG